rnacentral:rRNA from 1 species
CGUAGGGGGCUAGCGUUGUCCGGAAUCAUUGGGCGUAAAGCGCGCGUAGGCGGCCCGGUAAGUCCGCUGUGAAAGUCAAAGGCUCAACCUUUGAAUGUCAGCGGAUACUGCCGGGCUAGAGUCCGGAAGAGGCGAGUGGAACUCCUGGUGUAGCGGUGGAAUGCGCAGAUAUCAGGAAGAACACCAACGGCGAAGGCAGCUCGCUGGGACGGAACUGACGCUAAGGCGCGAAAGCGUGGGGAGCGAACAGGAUUAGAUACCCUGGUAGUCCACGCCGUAAACGAUGGGCACUAGGUGUGGGAGGUGUCGACUCCUCCCGUGCCGGCGCUAACGCAUUAAGUGCCCCGCCUGGGGAGUACGGCCGCAAGGCUA